AGUAGAGACGGGGCAUUGCCAUGUUGCCCAGGCUGGUCUUGAACUCCUGGAGCUCAACUGAUCUGCCCACCUGGGCCUCCCAAAGUGCUGGAUUACAGGUGUGCACCACUGUGCCUGGCUUCAAUCACCUCCUUUAUUGCUUUCUUACACUCUAGGCCACUGUCUGCCAGGCCUAAUUACCCCAGGGCUUGGUACCUGGCCCCUGACAACUAGAGACAGUCCCUCCACCUCAGAGCCCACUGAAAUUAUUCAAGCCAGCCAAUGCGAGGCCUACUUACCCUGCUGCCCACUCUGUUCCUUCUCAAGGAAGCAAACAAAGCAGUUAAGCCAUGGAGGCAACGCUGACCAUGCUUGAUUUGAAAACUGCAUGCCAGAGAGUAAUCAUGCCAGGAUGGACCUGAGCUGUUGCCAGCAAGGGGGUGGAUGCCUGGCAGUGGUGUCAGGACACGCAUGGCCCAGAGACCCACUGAGACCAGUAGAAACCUUGAGCACUGAAGAGAUGAUUUCUCCCUUCUUCCCCAGAAUGGAGACCAGGCUUGAAGAAUUCCUGAGCAAACAAAGCAAACAAAGCAGUUAAGCCAUGGAGGCAACGCUGACCAUGCUUGAUUUGAAAAGGUAAGUGAAACUUAGCUUGAGGUUAUUUGUUUUGUAAAUGUCUACCUUAAAGUAAAAUGAAACUUAAAUUCAGCCAAUCAGAAGCCACCAUCUAAUUUAUAAGUAACUAACUAGGAAAUUUCCAGUAGGAAAGAUCAAAUAAGACAACUGUGUAACUGUAACCAAUCAAAUAUUUCCUUUGCUUUAUGCUAUGGUUUGAAUGUGUUUCCCCAAGAACAUUUGUAGGAAACUUAAUCCCCAAUGCAACAAUGUCAAGAGGUGGAACCUUUGGGAGGUGAUUAGACUAGGAGGGCUCCACCCUCAUGAAUGGAUUAAUGCUUGAGGUUGCAAGCUAGCUUGCUUGCCCUUCCACCCUCUGCCAUGGGGUGAUGCAGCAAGAAGGCCCUUGCCAGAUGCUGGCACCUUGAUACUGGAUUUUCUAGUCUCCAGAACUGUGAGAAAUAAAUUUCUUUACUUUAUAAAUUAAUUACUCAGUCUGUGGUAUUCUGUGAAGCAACACAAAAUUAAGACACUUUACCUUCAUGUGCACCCUAUAAAAGACUUCCUCUUGCAUCCCCUUGGCAGAGCCCAAACCAGCUUUGAUUUGGUGUUUCCUGAUUCACAAAUCACUGUUUGCUCAAAUAAACUCUUUAAAAGUUUACUGUGCCUUAGUUUACCUUUAACACUGGUCAAAUGCAUACUUUGUCUGACUGUUGGAUAAUUCAGCACUGGUUAAAGUAUUGUAAGUAAGGGAAAUACAUUUUCACCUUGGAGCCCAAUUAAGCUCCCUUCCCAAAGGGGCAGAUGACCCCAAUGAUGGCAGCUUGUUGUAACAUGUGCUCCUGGAUCAGCGAUCCAUUGGGCUGCAAGGACAGGGAAGGUCGAUAAAGGAAAAGCGUACUUUACAGCAAGGUGUGAUUCCUGGAUAACAGAGACAACAGGCUGCCUGCAUUGCCUAGUGAAUAUUGAAGGGAGAAAACUUUGUAAAAAAUCAACUAAUAAAUGAUACUUAAGUCAAACAUUGAACAAAUUGCAUUAAAAAAGACCAAGAACAAUCUGAAAAUAAUAAUAAGGACUAGGAACCAAGAAAGCUAGUGCAUUUGACAUGAGCCCAGAAUAGCUUCACAAACAUGCCCCUGAAAAGUGGCAAAGAGGGGUUUCAGCAGAAGUGGAGUAGCUUACAUGGGAACAGGGGCGAUUCCUUUAGAUACUCUAGAAGUAAGGUUCCCACCAGUGCCUCAGGCAGAAAAUACAGAUACAUACUCUAAAGCCAGCACUUCUCACACUUUCCUAUGGCCAUCCCCUUAAGGACAGAAAAGUAGAAAAGGACUUCUGGGAAGCUAGGGAAAUAGUCCAAAGCAGCCUAUUUUAAACUCCCUAAGCUCAAAUUUUCUUUGAAUUUGCAUGCUUCAUUUAAAAAAUAUGUGUGGAUUUUACAUUUCACUCCAUUAAUACAUCUGCAAUUGUCUCAGCAUGAAAAGUGUUUUUACAAUUGUGUUAGUAUCACUACAUAAAAUCAUUCCUGUAAGUUCUGAUCCGUCCUGUGCACUUUGCCUAACUCAGCCUUUUACAGCAUAUCUCUGGGGAUAUAUUUACCUACAUUUGAGAAAAAACACCUUGCAUUAUGUAUAAUAAAAUGAAGAUAUUAACAUUUACAAAGUCUCAAUAAAUUCUUUUGCUAUUUUUGUAAAGAAAACUAAAGAACUUUUCUAGGAUCUAUCUAUAUAUCAUCUAUCUUUCUCUUUCCUGAUGGUGACAAAGAAUCACUCCACAGAUUGUUCACUAAUUGCAAACAGAAAAGAACUGUUACCAUAGGGAGACCUGGCACUCACCAUGUUAACCAAGUGCUCAAACAGCAUCCUUGACACAUAAGGGAAUAUUCCAAUCUUAUGGAGAAAAAAGCGGAGGAACUAAAGAGAUAUAAUAACCAAACGCAAAUGUAUGAUGGGAUACUACUCUGGAAAAACACACCUAUAAAAGACAUUUAUGGGAUAUGUGAAAUUUGAAUAUAAACUGUAAAUUAGAGGAUAUUAUCAAAUUACUAUUAAUUUUUAGACAUAAAAAUGGUAUUGUUUAUGUAUGAGACUGUCUGUAUUUCUAGGAUAUUAAUAUAUUAAUAUUUAAAGGUGAAGUAUCUUUUCUUUUUUCUUUUUUUUUUGAGAUGAGUCUCACUCUGUCACCCGGGCUGGAGUUGAGUGGU